rnacentral:rRNA from 1 species
UUGACCUCGGAUCAGGUAGGGAUGCCCGCUGAACUUAA